rnacentral:rRNA from 1 species
UACAGAGGGGGCAAGCGUUGUUCGGAUUUACUGGGCGUAAAGGGCGCGUAGGCGGCAUGACAAGUCACUUGUGAAAUCUCCGGGCUUAACUCGGAACGGCCAAGUGAUACUGUCAAGCUAGAGUGCAGAAAGGGCAAUCGGAAUUCUUGGUGUAGCGGUGAAAUGCGUAGAUAUCAAGAGGAACACCUGAGGCGAAGGCGGGUUGCUAGGCUGACACUGACGCUGACAGCGCGAAAGCCAGGGGAGCAAACGGG